CAACAUCAAACAUUUUGCUUUUUUACAGCUUCAAUGAGCGAAGCUAAAAAAGACAGUUCGCUCUUGGAAUCUAAUCAACCGUUACAAAUUAAAUUGUUAUUUUACAUAUAAAACCAGAUCAUGAAAUCAGGAACCAAACAUAGGCUAAAAAGCAAAUCCAUCGUGGAAAACACAAGAAUGAAGAGAAUGUAAGAAGGAAUCAGUGACAUAUCUCAUAGAGAAGAAAAAUGAAUAAUACAUAGAAUUCCAACAUAUCUCAUCUUAUUUUAUGCAACAAAGCUCGCAUGGAUCAAAUUCUAUGAAUAGGUAGAUAACUAUGUCCGCUUAGAUAAAUUUUCCAAAACUACAAGACAGUUAUUAUAUAAUAUAAUACAAUUUUUUAAGUUAAUUUGUCAAA